rnacentral:lncRNA from 1 species
GUUAGACUACAGUGAUGCCAUUUCCUUAUGUAAGCAUUUGACUUCAGAAAUUGAAACUGGCCAUGAUUAUUGAGUAGGCACGGCAGUUCAGCUGAAGGAUGAUCAAUGGACUUCAACUCAGAUGCAGAUCUUGACUGACAGAAGAUAAUUAUCAUUCAAGCUAAUGGGGAACUUGAAUUGGACUCAAUGGUGUUAGAAAGUGAAGAAAGGCUAAGUCUUCCUAAAUAAGAAAAAAAUAAUAAUAUCUUUGGAAAGGCAGUGGAAAUUUACAGGCACUGAAGGACCCUGUCAAAG